AGCACUGUGGCGCAGCGGAAGCGCGUAAGUUCUUACUCCAUCGAUUACUUCCCUCGAGCACAACACUAACAACAUCACAGGCCGGGCUCAUAACCCGGAGGGCCUCGGAUCGAAACCGAGCAGUGCUA
rnacentral:tRNA from 1 species